rnacentral:lncRNA from 1 species
CCUUGUAGGUGCCACCGCCGACACGCUGGAUUUCUCUCAGGCAAGGUCGGCGAGGGACGCUGAUUUGAUCGACGAGGCUCGUCAGGCUACAGAGUCGGGCGAGAAAAUGUCCCGAGAGCAAGUACCACGUCUUUGAAAAAGAACAUCCAACUCGUGCGAAUUUCUCAUAUCUCGCUUCUUGACUUUUGCAGUACGCAGCUCUGAGGCGGAAGAUUGAUGCUAGUCAGAAGCGAUGCACUCCCCUCGCCGGGAGGAGUUUCAUCCUUUCUAUCCUGUGCCAGAAGAACUAUACUAACUUUUUUGUGGGGGCUGUGAUUAACUUCCCACUGCUGCUGCUUGAUCGAUCUGCCAAGAAAACUCCCCUUUGUUGCUGCAACCGAAGCUGCCACCAAGAAGAAACGAAAAAAGAAGAUGACCAACUUUGAAAGAAUCGCACCCCGCCGCCCCUCCGUGGUGGUAUCGAGGAAGAGGUGGUCCGUGAAAAUUAUCGUUAUGGUAUGUCAUCCUGCUUUGCAAAAAUACCGAUAAGACUUAACUCCUUACUCCAUACUUCUUCCGUCAAAUGGGGGAAAGUGCAGCACCAAUCAAUCCAUGAGAAAUCAUUUGUAAAAUUGCUCCUUCGGG